AGAGUUUGAUCAUGGCUCAGGAUGAACGCUGGCGGCGUGCCUAACACAUGCAAGUCGAGCGAAGGAAUUCAGCGGAAGUUUUCGGAUGGAAGCGGGAUUUACUGAGCGGCGGACGGGUGAGUAACGCGUGGGUAACCUGCCUCAUACAGGGGGAUAACAGCUAGAAAUGGCUGCUAAUACCGCAUAAGCGCACAGUACCGCAUGGUACGGUGUGAAAAGCCGAGACGGUAUGAGAUGGACCCGCGUCUGAUUAGCUAGUUGGUGGGGUAACGGCCCACCAAGGCGACGAUCAGUAGCCGACCUGAGAGGGUGACCGGCCACAUUGGGACUGAGACACGGCCCAAACUCCUACGGGAGGCAGCAGUGGGGAAUAUUGCACAAUGGGGGAAACCCUGAUGCAGCGACGCCGCGUGAGCGAAGAAGUAUUUCGGUAUGUAAAGCUCUAUCAGCAGGGAAGAAAAUGACGGUACCUGACUAAGAAGCCCCGG
rnacentral:rRNA from 1 species